UUUAACACAGCAGCAUUCUUUCAGAUCAGUUCAUUGUUUCUCUUUUCCUCAGGUAGAUUACUAACCCUAACAAAUUACUGGUGGUUUUUGAUUUUUCUGCAGCCAGCAGCACAGCUGACCCCCCUCAAAGAGGUUCCAAAAGGACAGAAGCACAACUCAUUCUUUUCACCCCAACUCAUGGACAGGAAAACCUUUCACAGCUCUCAUCCCAAUUUCUUAUGUGGACCAAAACAGCCUUGUCUCAUCCAGCAGAUGUUCUCUUCAUCAAAGUCCCAUGGACAACUGGACAAAGCCUCUUCUUUCAGUGCUGGGUAAGAAGAAUCUACAUCAUGAACUGAAGACACAAUCUGGAGGAAAUGAUAGAGAUGGAGAAGGACCAGCUAUAAAUAUCAGAAGGUUCACACCAGAACAGUGAGGAAAAGGCAGAUGUGGUUGUAGAGCAUGUCCAGCAAGCUGCCUGAGAUGAAGAGCUCCUCUGAGGCUGCUCCUGAGCUGCUCCUGGGUCAGUUCACUCUGCCAGCCUCAUGUUCACUGCUGUGUGCAGAGGUUCAGGUGCUCUUUCCUCUCUGCUCCACGGAGAUCUCUUCCCAGCAGGAAGCCUGAGCAGGUGGGUGAGGGAUCAGACUGGCC
ensembl:lncRNA